rnacentral:tRNA from 1 species
GGCUUGGUAGCUCAGAUGGCUAGAGCAUUCCCCUCGUAAGGGUUGUGUCGCGGGUUCGAGUCCCGCCCUUGCCUCGA